AUGUGUGCCCCCCACCCCGGUCAGUGUGUGUCCUGUUGUUACCGCAGGCUCUUCAUCUCGGUUAUUUUCUACAUCGGAGGAGUAACUGAUAAUCUGGAGGGGAUAUUCUAAACAUAAUCUGGUAGCUGUUACUGUUAUUGAUGAAAGAUAAACCCGGCGACGUUGCUCCGUCCCGGGUUCUGCUGUAUAAAGUGGAGGCCGAUGUGUUGAUUCAAGGCUUGUGGUGUCUGUUGAAAAUUAAAGUGUUCCACUUGUUUUCUGCACGGGUCAGUAUGGUUUGAUCAAUGCGUGCAAUGAGUUAUUAUUUUCUUCUUCUGCGACACUGAUUAGGUUGAAAUGUAAGAGGAGAAGAAGAAAAGAAACAGUCUCAAAGUUUCCCAUUUUUUUCCCCAUGUUCUUGACACUGAUUAUAGCUUUGCGCCUGAAACCUUUUCCACGGGAGCCAUAUAUAAUCAGCUGAGAUAUAUUUACACCAAUCGCCUACAUUUAGCCUAAAGGAUACAUACUACAGCCUCCAGAAAGAAAGAUGUUCUUUUUCAUGUAUUAUAGCUUAUAUAACCUGGGCUACAACGUCUAACUAACGCAAACAGCAAUUUUAAAUGGACUGAAUUAAUAACAUCCGUCACAAAAAAGGCCUUAAUUGCUCAUGUUCAGGCAAAAAAAUAAAUAAAUAAAUACAAAUAACACAAAAAUAACUAGUUAAGUUAAACUGAAUAUACGAUAUUCAUAGUCUGAAAAAACUAAAGCAGCUAUUAUGUAAUCUGUAUCAUAUUAUUAUUCAAAAAACAAUUCAACUGGUCAUUGAAGCACAAUAGAAAAAUAUUUAUAUUUGCUCAAUAAUUACAUUUCAGUAAUUAAAAACGCGUGAACGUGUUUUAUAACAUGUUACAAUUGACUUUUUUGACUUAUCUAUUUUCAAAACAAGAAAAAUAAAUUUUAAAAGCAGGGGAGUGGAGUGGAGGCUGGACACACACACACACACACACUUCUCAGCCUAUACUACUACUACUUAGCCUAUUUUGUACUUUUUCUUCUUCUUCUCCCAAACAGAGAAAGAGAAAGGGGAAAAAAAGGAAACAGAAGAGCCCAGUCAGCCUGCUUUUCAUUCGCACUUACAAACGGAAUAUGUGUCGCUGAGGUCGUAAAAUAACCGCAGCCAUAAAUAAGUCUCCCUUUCUGUGUCUUUCUCCAUGUAGCCCGCUACAGGCUCUGACUUGUCUUCAUGGCCAGUCCGACUGACAAAUAGAGACAGAGACUCUAUUUUUACUUUUACUUUACCCUCCCUCUCUCGUCCAUUCCGCCAUGUCUCUGAAAAGUAGCCUAUAGGCCUAACACUGCCCAGAGCAGGGAGACAGAUAGGUCUACAUUUAAUUCUCGACUCUGGCUUUCUGUGCAGGAUCACACAGACAGAUGGGGAAUCUCUCUUUUUAACUUUCAUUUUGACCUCUCUGUCCAUCUCUCUCUCUCUCUCUCUCUCUCUCUCUCUCGCUCUCUGGCAGGACGCUCCGUUUCCUCUCCGCUUUGUGGGAACGGGAAGCAGCAGCAUUGUGUUGGAGCUGACUGGGGUUUAAUCAUUAAUGAGCAGUGGAGACAGGACAGGCAUGUCCUACAGCCUGGGACACACACAGGACGGUAAUCCUAUUCUUAUAAUACACAUUAGCACGUCGGCUCUUAGAUUGUGGCUUUGGCAUGAUAUCAGUGGUGUGUUACCUGCUCAGCAGCCUGGAGGGUAAAUACUGACAGAAGAGUGACAUAGUUGGAUUUAUCUCAUGUAGCAGUUGGAGCCAAGAAGAGUGUGUCGACAAAGUGUUCUGCAGUUUGGGAGAAGCGGAGCUGCAAACGGCGCCAAACGGCAGAAAGGCGGGGAGGCUCCACACCGGAAACGAAGACGGAAAAGUGUUUGCUCCUUGAGAAACCGGGAGUCUGAGCCGUUGGGAGCAGCAGGUUGUCUGAGAGACAGAAAGUGAAGGAGAAAAACCUAAGUGGAUAAUAGGAAGACAUACCUUAAACGGAGACAGUAACGUCGUCUGUCACGCGCUCUAUGUUGUGUUUUUCCUCCUUGUAGGUUAGCAGAUACGAAUCAUCCUGCUUGCCGUAGGCGUACAUUGGAAAAAGUGUGCUACAUGUUCCUGCGCAGUUGGGCCUCUUUAAGACCUGUUUUCAGAGCAUCUAAAGUUAUAGUCUACAGUCCGCAGGAACGAGUUUUUAGCGACUCUUGUGACGCAAGAAAAAUGUAGGAAUUUUCGCUCACGUUCAUUUGAUUAGUCUGAACGUUUUCGAAUAAAAUAUAAUAGGGCUACAAAAGAUAUCAAGUUACUUUCGCUAAUUAGUGAAAAUAACUUAAUUACUACCAAUAACCACAGUUAGCCAAAAAGGACAGCGACAAUCCUACUACCACUAAUGAUAGCUUUAUAGUAGGCUGAUUAUAUGCAGGUUUUUCGUCGCAGAUAUACGAUGCGUUUAAAGCCCGUUAUGUUCCUGUGCAGUAGCCCAAAUCAGGCUGGUGUAGCUGCAGUGUAAACAGUUAGGAGCUGCUGAAGGAACUCCAGGAAUCCGAGAAACUUCAGAGAUUAUCGACAAUUAAAGCUGAAGGAGUGCGACUGCUGCUUUAUAGCUUUAUGGCUCUUUUUCACCUCGUGUGUGUGCGCGCCUGUGUAUGUGUGUGUGUGAGAGACCUCGGGACUUUUAUGGCUUUAUGACCGUUUAUGACUCCUUGUAAAGUCCGAGGAAUGGCGACGAACUGAAAAACAGCCCCGCAGCAAACAGCAGAUGAAGAAAUGUGCUGUGCUGCACACAAGGAACGCGCGUGCACACACACACACACACACACACACACACACACACGCACACACACGGGCACUGUACAGUUCAUCUGCGGUUCAUCUCAGCCCGGCAAUGCUCGAAUCGCCCGCAUUUCACUCAUUAUUAUUAACAAGUACUGUGAAACAAUUAACAGUCUGUGAAAUUAAACCUUUGCUAUUUAUUUUAUUGACUAACACUAUUAUCCGUUUUUUCCUACCCAGAAUUUCAUUUCAAACAUUGCACAGGGAGAAUUGCACUACGGCUCAUAGACGAGGUAAGGUUGAUAAUGUAGUUUUAAUUACAAAAAUUAAUAAUAUAAUAUCUGUCUUCAUUUAUAAGCUGAAAAGGCAUAGAUUAAUUUCGCACAUGUAGGCUAUUACACUUUGAACCCAUAAAUGUGUUUUUAAUGAUUUAAAAUCUGGAACUCUCUCUCUCACACACACACACACGCGCAGACGUAUAGACUAUUUAUUAAACAAAAACAAUAUUCAAAGGUGGUAUUUGUUCCAGUGACUUAGGGAUUUUAGCACAGGUGGUGGCGUGUUUAAAUUAGCAAAGGUCAUCCGUUUGUUAAGUCAUGUGAGGGAAAGUGUGACUUAACCUAAGAUGACUGUGUUUUCACACACCUAAUGUUCAUGCGUGUAGAGUAGCGGGCCAAGGCUCGGCACACUGAAAAGGAGGCCGUGUGAGUGCGCUCGCUGACCGACCGACCCUUCCUGCACGAGUUAAAGACAAACUGAAAGAAAGUGCCUCACUUGUGCUUUUUUGUUUUAAUGUAUUAAUCGUUUCCAGGCAGCACGACUGGACGCGUCCUUCACGGCACCGUGAGCUCGUGCUCUGGGUCAGUUCACCGGACUGUUACCGGUGGGCGCGAGCACCCGGCCGCACAAGGGCCCCGGGACCAGUUAAAUAUUAACGGACAGAUGAAUGCAGCAUCACGGGGAGGGCCGCUUGUUUUUCUCCAGGUCUGCAAAAUAAGGAGGAAGCGAACACGCGCCCGUGCAGGUGCACGUGCAAUUUAUUUUAAUGAUUAAACGGAAACGUACGACAUAAAAAAGGAUAAAACAUGUAACAACUCAAAUUGUUAUUUGGGUUCAGCUUUUUAAUAUAAUUAAUAAACAUCAUUAUUAGUAUUAUUAUUAUUAUUAGUGUGGUUGUGAGCGAAUGCUGAAGCUAAACUCUAAUAAUGCUAUAAGCUAAAGAUGCAGCCGGUUGUCUUACAAAUUGUGAAACAAUUAUUCUAUUUUUAAAAAACAAAAAAAAAACUUGUAUCAUUAACUUUAAUGUCGUUAAUACCAAAAAUUCAGAGGCCAAAAAACACAAAAUGUUCUUAUUAUCUCUGAGCCCGUAGUGUAUUUCUAAUUUACCAUUUAUAUUGCGAACAUGCAAUAAAGAUGUACUUUGUGUGAAUACGGCGGCGCAUUCGAAUCGUUUAUAUGCAGCGGAAGAAUAAUGGGGAAUUCCCCUCUGAUACUACCGUCCUGGAAGUCAUAAUCUCACUCCACAGAAAAUGCAAUUGAAGUUUCUGGCUGUCGAGUAGAAAAUAAAUAGAUGAGAGGGGGCAAAAUAUUGAUUUUCCAUCUGAUCUUAAUGCAUUGGAGUUGAUUUUGAAUGCCGGAUUAAAGUCAGAUGAUGAUGGAGUCAUAAAUUAAACACAACACUGUGGAUUACUGCCUCCCCCGCCUGCCCUGCACAUGGGCCUCUCAGAUGAACACGUCACACACACACACACACACACACUCACACACACACACACACACCUGGUUGCAUAUAUUUGAUGAGCGAGCCAGUAAAGAAGAUGAAAUCACAGAGCAAAGACAUUAUUUUUUAACACAUAUGAACACGCACGCGCACAGUGGGUCUGCUGCUCGUUGCCCCUGUUUCCCGAAACAGAGACCCUGACCAAUCAGCACAACUUUUACAUCCACAGCUUAGAAUGUGUGCGCUCACACUCACACACACCGAACCCAUUUGUGUGUUAUUGUGCACGCAUGGACUUCUCCACGCCUCACUCACCAGAGUGUAACAGCAGCCAGGCCUAAACUCGGGGAGGGGGG